CGAGGAGGCUGCACCGCACCGAGUCUCUGCUUGCGUUUUCCUCCGCAGACCUCCGAGCCGUGACUUCCAGCGCAGGAUGUGGUACCAUAAGUUGUUGCACCAACAAAGCAGGCUCCAGAACUUGAUGAAGAGAGGAGACAUAGCUCACGGUCUUCGUCUGUCCGGCUUUAAAAGUUUAUUUCCAUUUUCGCUCCAUUGGUGCCAUACGGCUUCCAAGUCUGUGAAUUGUACUUGGCACCAACAUGAAGAUCAUUUGGAACUGCAAUAUGCCAGCACUGUGAUGCGCUUCGAUUAUGUCUGGCUUCGAGACCACUGCCGCUCAGCCUCGUGCUAUAAUUCUAAGACUCACCAGCGGAGCCUGGACACUGCCAGUGUGGAUUUAUGCAUUAAGCCAAAGACGAUUCGUCUGGAUGAAAGUACACUCUUUUUCACUUGGCCAGAUGGUCAUGUGACUAGAUACGACCUGGAUUGGCUGGUGAAAAACAGCUACGAAGGGCAGAAGCAGGAGGUCAUCCAACCCAGGGUGCUGUGGAACGCCAAGCUCUACCAGGACGCCCAGCUUCCGUCUGUUGAUUUCCAGGGUUUCUUGGAAACAAAGGAAGGACUGAAGAAGUUUCUGCAGAACUUUCUGCUCUACGGAAUUGCGUUUGUAGAAAAUGUCCCUCCCACUCAGGAGCACACGGAAAAGCUGGCACGAAGGGUCAGCCUAAUCAG
rnacentral:lncRNA from 1 species